CGCGUAGACGGUUGGAUAAGUUAGUUGUGAAAUACCCGUGCUUAACGCAGGAAGUGCAACUAAAACUGUCUUACUUGAGUAUGGGAGAGGAAAGCGGAAUUCCUAGUGUAGCGGUGAAAUGCGUAGAUAUUAGGAGGAACAUCAGUGGCGAAGGCGGCUUUCUGGACCAAAACUGACGUUGAGGCGCGAAAGUGUGGGGAGCAAACA
rnacentral:rRNA from 1 species